rnacentral:rRNA from 1 species
GCUUAACACAUGCAAGUCGAGCGAGAAUCGUUUAUUGAAGGCUUCGGCUGGAGAUAGAUGAGGAAAGCGGCGAACGGGUGAGUAACGAGUGGGCAACCUGGCCUUAAGAAAAGGAUAGCCCCCGGAAACGGGGAGUAAUACUUUAUGAGAAUGAGAGAGGGCAUCCUACUUUCAUUCAAAGCGCAAGCGCUUAAGGAUGGGCCCGCGUAUCAUUAGCUAGUUGGUGAGAUAACAGCCCACCAAGGCAACGAUGAUUAGCCGGGCGGAGAGGGCGAACGGCCACAUUGGAACGGAGAGACGGUCCAAACUACUACGGGAGGCAGCAGUGGGGAAUAUUUCGCAAUGGAGAAGAAAUCUUACGCAGCAAUACCGCGUGAGCGAAGAAGGUCUUCGGAUCGUAAAGCUCUGUUAUCAGGGAAGAAGAAAAUGACGGUACCUGAUGAGCAAGUCCCGGCUAACUACGUGCCAGCCGCCGCGGUAA